GGUGGUAGCAUUGUUUGUUAUUAUGAGAUGGGUUCAUCAUAUUUAUUCACAUAUUUGAUUAAUAGACAUGCUGUUAACAAAGAACAGUACUGCUGUUUCCAUCUGUAUGUUUUCCCAGUACUAGCCUAUCUCUCAUCGUAAUUUAUAACAGCAUAUAGCUAUAAGGACUGUGUUAUAAACUUUGGGAAACAUGUUUUAUUUAAAAAAGGUGUUAUAAUUUUUGGUUUUACAUAUUCAUCAAUUGUAAAAAUGCAUUGGUAUUUAAAUUGAUUUAGUUUUUAAAAUUCCCUCAAAUUAUUCAAAAUGGCGGCUCUUGAGACCGGAAAUGCCCAGUUUUGAUGAUCGGUUAAUAAACUAACAGGUUGUAAGGAAAGAAAAUAUUACUAAAAUUUGUUUCAAUUAAAUGCAGAAUUCUUUAGAUAAUAUUAAGUAAAUAAUAUUGUUUUUUAACCAAAAUAAAUUUUAAAGAUUUAUCCCGGUAUUAAUCGUGGCUGUAUCGUGAUUGGCCAAAAUUUCAAACUUUGACUUUCGUGAAUUCUGAUUGGACAAUUGCCAUUCCGCCAUCAAAUUUUGAAAUGGGCAAAGAAGACAGGAGUUGUUGUGAAGAUUUUCCUGAUUUUUUCAAGAAAUAUGCAGAAUCACAGCGUGUUGUAUGUAGUAAUGAAACUGCAAGCAGUGGUUUCAUAAAGAUAGACAUGCUUAAGACCUGGAUGAUAUGGCUUUAGUUGUGGAUGACCAUUUCCAUUCAGGAAAAAAUCCCAACCAAGUCCAGCUAGCAGACUGUACACCAGAUUGAAGAUACAUCAUUAAUACAAGAUGAAAAAAAUUAAUGGAGGACGAGGAUAAUACUAUGAAAGAGAUCAGAUGCAAGAGCAACCGUUCCCAUAGAAAUACAUGCAGCCAUGUAAACAGAAACCAGUUUUCACCUGCCAGGUGCUGGUCAUAUAUAUAUUCAACUUGGAACAGAUUCAAGAAACAGAUCCAGUUGUUUGCUGAUAAAUUACUGCAGGUCAUUGGUAUCAUCUAGAACCAGGACUGUUUUAAAAAUCAUACUAGUAUGUUUGGAACAAAAUCAUGCUAGUAUAUGUUAGGAAUUUAACCUAAAACAUGCUUUAUGAAGGUUUUGGUCAAAUUUUGGUUUACAAAAUAAUGUUUUUCAAACUUUCUAUUCAAAUUUAGCAAGAACAUUAGACACACAUGUAAUCCCAAAUGCUUUUAUGUUAGUUUAUUGCUUUAUUUAAAAAACUUGCAUAUAGGGUCUGUAAUGAUUUGAGAUAAUUAUGUAAACAAUAAAAUGCUUUCUUUGGUGCCAUAUGCGGGAUAUGAAUGUAGCGACAUUGCAGAAAAAAUACAUUACCCGCAUUAGC